rnacentral:rRNA from 1 species
GAAUUGUUCGCAAUGGGCGCAAGCCUGACGACGCAACGCCGCGUGGAGGAUGAAGAUCUUCGGGUCGUAAACUCCUGUCGAGCGGGACGAAAGAUCCGCGACCUAAUACGUCGCGGAAGUGACGGUACCGCUAGAGGAAGCCCCGGCUAACUCCGUGCCAGCAGCCGCGGUAAUACGGGGGGGGCUAGCGUUGUUCGGAAUUACUGGGCGUAAAGGGCUCGUAGGUGGCCAACUAAGUCAUGCGUGAAAUCCCUCGGCUUAACCGGGGAACUGCGUCUGAUACUGGAUGGCUUGAAUCCGGGAGAGGGAUGCGGAAUUCCAGGUGUAGCGGUGAAAUGCGUAGAUAUCUGGAGGAACACCGGUGGCGAAGGCGGCAUCCUGGACCGGUAUUGACACUGAGGAGCGAAAGCCAGGGGAGCAAAC